GCAGUCGAGCGGACAGAUGGGAGCUUGCUCCCUGAUGUUAGCGGCGGACGGGUGAGUAACACGUGGGUAACCUGCCUGUAAGACUGGGAUAACUCCGGGAAACCGGGGCUAAUACCGGAUGCUUGUUUGAACCGCAUGGUUCAAACAUAAAAGGUGGCUUCGGCUACCACUUACAGAUGGACCCGCGGCGCAUUAGCUAGUUGGUGAGGUAAUGGCUCACCAAGGCAACGAUGCGUAGCCGACCUGAGAGGGUGAUCGGCCACACUGGGACUGAGACACGGCCCAGACUCCUACGGGAGGCAGCAGUAGGGAAUCUUCCGCAAUGGACGAAAGUCUGACGGAGCAACGCCGCGUGAGUGAUGAAGGUUUUCGGAUCGUAAAGCUCUGUUGUUAGGGAAGAACAAGUGCCGUUCAAAUAGGGCGGCACCUUGACGGUACCUAACCAGAAAGCCACGGCUAACUACGUGCCAGCAGCCGCGGUAAUACGUAGGUGGCAAGCGUUGUCCGGAAUUAUUGGGCGUAAAGGGCUCGCAGGCGGUUUCUUAAGUCUGAUGUGAAAGCCCCCGGCUCAACCGGGGAGGGUCAUUGGAAACUGGGGAACUUGAGUGCAGAAGAGGAGAGUGGAAUUCCACGUGUAGCGGUGAAAUGCGUAGAGAUGUGGAGGAACACCAGUGGCGAAGGCGACUCUCUGGUCUGUAACUGACGCUGAGGAGCGAAAGCGUGGGGAGCGAACAGGAUUAGAUACCCUGGUAGUCCACGCCGUAAACGAUGAGUGCUAAGUGUUAGGGGGUUUCCGCCCCUUAGUGCUGCAGCUAACGCAUUAAGCACUCCGCCUGGGGAGUACGGUCGCAAGACUGAAACUCAAAGGAAUUGACGGGGGCCCGCACAAGCGGUGGAGCAUGUGGUUUAAUUCGAAGCAACGCGAAGAACCUUACCAGGUCUUGACAUCCUCUGACACCCCUAGAGAUAGGGCUUCCCCUUCGGGGGCAGAGUGACAGGUGGGUGCAUGGUUGUCGUCAGCUCGUGUCGUGAGAUGUUGGGGUUAAGUCCC
rnacentral:rRNA from 1 species